rnacentral:rRNA from 1 species
ACACAUGCAAGUCGAACGAUGAAGUUAUGACGGAGGCUUCGGCCGACUGAAUGAUGGAUUAGUGGCGGACGGGUGAGUAACGCGUGAGUAACCUGCCUUUCAGAGAGGAAUAACAUUUGGAAACGAAUGGUAAUACCACAUAACAUUACGUUCUCGCAUGGGGAUGUAAUCAAAGAUUUAUCGCUGAGAGAUGGACUCGCGUCCGAUUAGCUGGAUGGUGAGGUAACGGCCCACCAUGGCGACGAUCGGUAGCCGGACUGAGAGGUUGAACGGCCACAUUGGGACUGAGACACGGCCCAGACUCCUACGGGAGGCAGCAGUGGGGAAUAUUGCACAAUGGGGGAAACCCUGAUGCAGCAACGCCGCGUGAAGGAAGACGGUCUUCGGAUUGUAAACUUUUGUUCUUGGUGAAGAAGAAUGACGGUAGCCAAGGAGGAAGCCACGGCUAACUACGUGCCAGCAGCCGCGGUAAUACGUAGGUGGCAAGCGUUGUCCGGAAUUACUGGGUGUAAAGGGAGCGCAGGCGGGAAAUCAAGUUGGAUGUGAAAUGUCGGGGCUUAACCCCGGAACUGCAUCCAAAACUGAUAUUCUUGAGUGAAGUAGAGGUAGGCGGAAUUCCGAGUGUAGCGGUGAAAUGCGUAGAUAUUCGGAGGAACACCAGUGGCGAAGGCGGCCUACUGGGCUUUAACUGACGCUGAGGCUCGAAAGUGUGGGGAGCAAACAGGAUUAGAUACCCUGGUAGUCCACACUGUAAACGAUGAUUGCUAGGUGUGGGGGGUCUGACCCCC